rnacentral:rRNA from 1 species
AUUGAACGCUGGCGGCAGGCCUAACACAUGCAAGUCGAGCGGAGCGGCGGACGGGUGAGUAAUGCCUAGGAAUCUGCCUGGUAGUGGGGGAUAACGUCCGGAAACGGGCGCUAAUACCGCAUACUAUCAGAUUAGCCAAGAGAGGAUUGGCUAGUUGGAGGGGUAAAGGCCUACCAGGGCGACGAUCCGUAACUGGUCUGAGAGGAUGAUCAGUCACACUGGAACUGAGACAGGGUCCAGAAUCCUACGGGAGGCAGCAGUGGGGAAUAUUGGCCAAUGGGCGAAAGCCUUAUCCAGCCAUGCCGCGUGUGUGAAGAAGGUCUUCGGAUUGUAAAGCACUUUAAGUUGGGAGGCGUUACCAACAGAAUAAGCACCGGCUAACUUCGUGCCAGCAGCCGCGGUAAUUC